rnacentral:rRNA from 1 species
GCAGUCUGCAACUCGAGNGCAUGAAGCUGGAAUCGCUAGUAAUCGCGAAUCAGCAUGUCGCGGUGAAUACGUUCCCGGGUCUUGUACACACCGCCCGUCACACCAUGGGAGUCGGGAAUGCCCGAAGCCGGUGGCCCAACUGAGAGGAGGGAGCCGUCGAAGGCAGGCCGGAUGACUGGGGUGAAGUCGUAACAAGGUAUC